AUUCAAGUAUGACUUUUUAAGGAAAUAGUUACAUAAAAUUAUUUUAAGUAUCGAGAACUGAACUAGUACCGUAUCAAAAUUUCAGCUCGGUCCCGGUUCCUAGGCAAACUCCGGACUAAAUUGGAACCGAACACCCCUACUAUUCAUAACUGGAAGUGAUGUUUAUGAAAUGCUUCUUAAAAACUUAUUGUGUUCAAAGCAAUAGAGCUGUGAGUAAAGUUGUGGUUGAUGUCGUAAAUAUUUUCACUUGUUGUAGUCUUGGCUGUGUACUUCUAACUAGAGGGAUGGAUUGAGAUUGUUGUCAGUGUUGCAUCAAGAUACAAAAAAUUAAAUAAUGUUUAUCAGUUUUGAAGCUGAUAUUCAAAUCCUAAAUAUGUUAUGUUCUGACAUUUAUUAGGUUUCCUUGGAGCAUUGUCCAACUGAGGUAUUCGUUCACCUUUCCGCAG
rnacentral:misc_RNA from 1 species